rnacentral:rRNA from 1 species
GCCAGACUCCUACGGGAGGCAGCAGUGGGGGAUAUUGCACAAUGGGGGGAACCCUGAUGCAGCGACGCCGCGUGGGUGAAGGAGUAUUUCGGUAUGUAAAGCCCUAUCGGCAGGGAAGAAGCAAGACGGUACCUGACUAAGAAGCCCCGGCUAACUACGUGCCAGCAGCCGCGGUAAUACGUAGGGGGCGAGCGUUAUCCGGAUUCACUGGGUGUAAAGGGAGCGUAGACGGCCAUGCAAGCCAGGGGUGAAAGCCCGGGGCCCAACCCCGGGACUGCUCUGGAAACUGUAGAGCUAGAGUGCAGGAGAGGUAAGUGGAAUUCCUAGUGUAGCGGUGAAAUGCGUAGAUAUUAGGAGGAACACCAGUGGCGAAGGCGGCUUUCUGGACUGUAACUGACGUUGAGGCUCGAAAGCGUGGGGAGCAAACAGGAUUAGAUACCCUGGUA